UACGAAGGGGGCUAGCGUUGUUCGGAUUUACUGGGCGUAAAGCGCACGUAGGCGGAUUGGUCAGUUAGAGGUGAAAUCCCGAAGCUCAACUUCGGAACUGCCUUUAAUACUGCCAGUCUAGAGUCCGGAAGAGGUAAGUGGAACUCCUAGUGUAGAGGUGGAAUUCGUAGAUAUUAGGAAGAACACCAGUGGCGAAGGCGGCUCACUGGCCCGGUACUGACGCUGAGGUGCGAAAGCGUGGGGAGCAAACAGGG
rnacentral:rRNA from 1 species